GAAACGAGCUUGCAUGAGAGCAUCCCAGGACCACUGAACAUUCAGAGGGCUGGAGGCAGAGAAAAACUUCCCCUACUCAAGAAAAAGAAGCUAUUUUUGUCAAGUUAAAUGAGCCUGAACCUGCAGAGCUGAAUUGGCAGAUGAAUAUUGCUAAUUGGUGCAGUUUCUUCGGUGCAGGAAAGAGUUUCCAAUCAGACCGGCAAUUCAUUGGCCACAUGAAGAUGCUGUGCUAGGGCCUGGGCAAAGCCAGACAAGAAGUGGUUCCUGCUAUCAGGCUGACUAACAUCUAUCAGAAAGAACAGAUCACGCAAAAUGACAUGAAUGACUGAAAAAGCAUGUGGAGCACAAGACUCAAGAACUAAGUGAAAGGACUCACACUUCCUGAUUUCAAGUAAAGCUACAGCAAUCAAGACGUGGCAUUGAUGUAAGAAUAGACACAUCAAUGAAUGAAACAGAAUACAUCUUCCAGAAAUAAAUUCACACAAAUAUAGUCAAGAGGUUUUUUGUGUGCUAAAGUGUAUAUAAUAUUUACCAUUUUAACCAUUUUUAAGUGCACAGUUCAGAAGCAUUAAGAAUAAACAAUGUUGUAUAACCAUCACCAUUAUCCAGUUCCAGAAUUUUUCAUCACCUCACACAGAAACUCUGUACCUAUUAUCAACAAUAAAUUUUCAUUCCCCCCUUGCCCUCAGUCUCUGGUAACCACUAUUGAACUUUCUGUUUCUAUGAAUUUGCCCCUUCUCAGUGCCUAAUAUGAGUGGAAUAAUACAAUAUGGGUCCUUUGUGCCUAGUUUAUUUCACUUACUGUAAUGUUUUCAAGGUUCAUCCAUGUUAUAAUAUGGAUCAGAAUUUUAUUUCUUUUCAAGCAUGAAUAAUAGUCCAUGGUA
ensembl:lncRNA LINC00836 long intergenic non-protein coding RNA 836